rnacentral:rRNA from 1 species
UACGGGGGGGGCUAGCGUUGUUCGGAAUUACUGGGCGUAAAGGGCGCGUAGGCGGCCGAUCAAGUCGGGGGUGAAAGCCUGUGGCUCAACCACAGAAUUGCCUUCGAUACUGUUUGGCUUGAGACCGGAAGAGGUUAGUGGAACUGCGAGUGUAGAGGUGAAAUUCGUAGAUAUUCGCAAGAACACCAGUGGCGAAGGCGGCUGACUGGUCCGGUUCUGACGCUGAGGCGCGAAAGCGUGGGGAGCAAACAGG